rnacentral:lncRNA from 1 species
UUUUAUCACAGCACCUGCUCUUUUCUUUCACGUGGACUUGCUUUAGUGGUUCUGUGCAGGUCUCCUAAGACUGGGCUCCUGGGGUGGAGAGGGACUCCUUUGCCAUUUUCAGCACCAAUGCUGAGCCCACCAGGCCACCUGGCACAAGGUGAGUGCUCAGGGCAGAGUCGCUGAGUGAAUAAGUCAGCACGGGGAGAAAGUGAUUAAACCCCCUUCCUGCUUCCAUUGUCCUCAUAAUGUGGGGAUCAUUGAUACUAACAGGAGGUGCCUUUCUCAGGAGGCUAUCCCGGAGCUCCAGCUGCUCCAGCAAAGCUCCAUGGGCACCAGGGACAUGGGAGGCUGCUGCCCCCUGGUGACCAGUACUAGCACUGCAGCCCCAGGCAGGAGCAUCACAGAGGAGAAUAGGCACAUGCAUUUAGACUUUAUUAAAACUAAGAACUUCAUCAAAAGAUGCCUUCAACAAAAUAAAAAGGCAAGAACAGAGUGUGAAGAAACAUUUACCAUUUGUGUGAGAAGAGCCUGACAUGUAGGAUGUGGGACUAACUCCCAUCAAUUAAGAAGAAAGGCGACAGACACACUGGGGAGAAUGGGUAAACAAUCCGGACAUUUCCCAAAGAGUGGCCAGACAGCCAACAGGUGUAGAGAAAGAUGCUGCACAUUCUCCGUCAUCAGGGAGAUGCAGAUUAAAACCACAAUGUGAUACCACUAUGCAAUGGAUAACAUUUUAUUUGAAAAACAACAUCGAGUGUUGCUGAGGGGGCUGAGCGACUGGACUCUCACAUGCCGCUGUGUGUGUAAACUGCUACAAACACCCUCAAAAGCCCUUUGAUAAUAUUUUCUAAAGACGGAAAUAUACAUUCUAUGGCCCCACAAUUUGACUCAGGUAUAGAUCCGUUAGAAAUGCCUGCAUCUGUUCACCACGCAAAAGAACGUCCACAAAUGGCCAGAACUAUGACAGUUAAGGGAGGCAUAUGAAAUGCUAUGCUAUGCUUCAACACACAAAUUCACAGAAUCAACCUAAAUGCCCAUAAAUGGAAGACUGGAUAAAGAAAAUGUGGUGCAAAUACACCAUGAAAUACUAUGCAGCCAUAGAAAAAGAAUGAGAUCAUGUGCUUUGCAGGAACGUGGGUGGAGCUGGAGGCCAUUAUCCUUAGCAAACUAAGACAGGAACAGAAAACCAAAUCCUGCAUGUUCUCCUAAGUGGGAGCUAAAUGAUAAGAACACAUGGACACGAAGAGGGGAUCAACAGACAAUGAGGCCUAGCAAAGGGUGGAGGGUGGGAGGAGGGAAAGGAGCAGAAAAAAUAACUAUUUGGUCCUAGGCUUAGUACCUGGGUAAUGAAAUAGUCUGUACAUCAAACCCCUGUGACAUGAGUUUACCUAUAAAAUAAACCUGCACAGCCACCCCUGAGCCUAAAAUAAAAGUUUUUUUAAAAAAACAAAUUCAAGCAAUUGGAUCUGGACUUUCAUUUUUCUGGUUAAUCCCAAGGCCAGCAGGCAUAGGGGUUGGUUCAAGACUCUGGCAUCGUAGCAUCUAGAUUCCUGUCCUGGGUAUCACCACUUCCUAUCUCAGAGAUCUUGGCCAUGGUACUAACUCUCCAAGCUCCAGUUUCAUUAUCUGUAAAAGGAGUUAAUUAUGCUUCCCAUUUCAUAGUUAUUCAGAGGAUUAAAUCCUCACAAGAAAUACUAGCUCUUGUGGGACUUCAUGUUGUUUUUUGUUCUAUGAACUAUGGAGAAGACAGAUGAUGACCUGUGGUAAAGGAAGGAGAAGCAUGAGGUUCAACCCAAAGAUGUUGUCAAGGUGAAAUGUAGACAGGGCCUCUUGGCUUGAACCGAUAAAUACAAUCUAUAGUUGUAAAUUCUGAGGCCAUCCAUUAAUAAAUCCUCCAUUCCUCCCACCUUUGUCUACAAUUUUGUUAAUAACGCUCGAUGACAUCAUCAAUCAGAAGAUAGCCCAGGGCAGGGUCUCCCCUGAAAUUCUCCCUCCAGGUGACAGUGAUCCAUUAAGCAGCCUGCUAUGUGGCAAGAAGGAAAACGGGUUUGGAUGUGUGUUGCUGCCACAGCAGCAGCUAAGAGCCCCAGGGACUUGGCUGCUGGCAGCAUCCUCUACCAGAGUUUUCCUUCGACAGUGAGAAGACUCCCAGAGUCCUUAGGAGCCAGGAUCUGGCUGUCGGGAGACAGCAUUCAUUCAUGCAUUCAUUCAGUCGUUCUUCAUUCAUUUGAAAAAACAUAUUGAAGUCUUCUACAGGCUAGAUGUGCUAUGUAUGUCCUUAUAAUAAAGGUCAAUAGGACACAAUGCCUGCCCUCAAGGAGCUUGCCUGUCUAAUAGAGAGUAAUAUCACAGCCAGAAGGACUCUAUGAAAGAAUCCAGCCAGGUCAUGCCACUCUUCUGCUCAAUACUCUGCAAUGGCUCCCAUGCUCCUCAGAGUAAAGUUCAAGGUCCUUCCCACAGCCCCAUAGGACCUGGCCACCCCAUAGUUCUUGUCCACCCCCCCCCCCCCUGCAGCCGCACCGCCCUCAUUUUCAAACACAGCAGCCAAGUGCGCGCCUGCCUCCAGAACCUUGCACUGUACUUGUCUUUUUUUGUCUAGAUGCUCUUCCCCCAAACACCUACCCUCCCCUUCCUUGCAAGCCUUUCCUCGGAAGACACCUUCUCAGUGAGGCUUUGUCAAGCCCCACCCCAUCUAAAAUUUCAACACUCCCCAGCACUUCAUAUCCUCUUCCUGAUUUAUUUCUUCUUCUCAGGACAUCUUCCUCUCUAAUAUUCUCUACCCUACUUACUAAUCUUGUUUAAU